UACGCAGGGUGCAAGCGUUGUCCGGAAUUAUUGGGCGUAAAGCGUGCGCAGGCGGUUAUGUAAGACAGUUGUGAAAUCCCCGGGCUCAACCUGGGAAUUGCAUCUGUGACUGCAUAGCUAGAGUACGGUAGAGGGGGAUGGAAUUCCGCGUGUAGCAGUGAAAUGCGUAGAUAUCGGAAGGAACACCAGUGGCGAAAGCGGCUUCCUGGUCCAGCACCGAC
rnacentral:rRNA from 1 species